GAUGAACGCUGGCGGUAUGCUUUACACAUGCAAGUCGUACGGGAGUUUUUAACUCAAGUGGCGGACGGGUGAGUAACACGUAAGAAUUUGCCUUUAGGAGGGGGACAACAGCUGGAAACGUCUGCUAAUACCCCAUAUGCUUUCGAGUGAAAUGGAUUUUUCCGCCUAAAGAGAAGCUUGCGGCUGAUUAGCUUGUUGGUGAGGUAAUGGCUCACCAAGGCGACGAUCAGUAUCUGGUUUGAGAGGACGAUCAGACACACUGGAACUGAGACACGGUCCAGACUCCUACGGGAGGCAGCAGUGGGGAAUUUUCCGCAAUGGGCGAAAGCCUGACGGAGCAAUACCGCGUGAGGGAUGACGGCCUAUGGGUUGUAAACCUCUUUUUUCAGGGAGGAAUCAAAUGACGUGUACCUGAAGAAUAAGCAUCGGCUAACUCCGUGCCAGCAGCCGCGGUAAGAC
rnacentral:rRNA from 1 species